GAACUGCUGAAGAGUCCUAUAAUAGAACGAAACGGAUGUCCAGUGC
rfam:Schistosoma rodhaini strain Burundi genome assembly, scaffold: SROB_scaffold0001242